AACGAACGCUGGCGGCAGGCUUAACACAUGCAAGUCGAACGCCCCGCAAGGGGAGUGGCAGACGGGUGAGUAACGCGUGGGAAUCUACCCAGAUCUACGGAACAACAGUUGGAAACGACUGCUAAUACCGUAUACGCCCUACGGGGGAAAGAUUUAUCGGAUUGGGAUGAGCCCGCGUUGGAUUAGCGAGUUGGUGGGGUAAUGGCCUACCAAGGCGACGAUCCAUAGCUGGUCGGAGAGGAUGACCAGCCACCCUGGAGCUGAGACACGGCCCAGUCCCCUGCGGGAGGCAGCAGUGGGGAAUAUUGGACAAUGUGCGCAAGCCUGAUCCAGCCAUGCCGCGUGAGUGAUGAAGGCCUUAGGAUUGUAAAGCUCUUUCACCGAUGAAGAUAAUGACGGUAGUCGGAGAAGAAGCCCCGGCUAACUUCGUGCCAGCAGCCGCCGUAACAC
rnacentral:rRNA from 1 species